GUGCGCGCGUGCGAGCAUCCCGAGCAGUGAGUGAGUUUGACCUUAAGCUUCUCCUGCCCUCUUUACACUGCCAGCUCUUGUGUACGUUUCCUGGGCCUCCAAGAUAUGAGAGGGGAAAAUAUCUGCCGACAGCCCAUCACAGUUCACGGCUCUUUGUUUAUCCAUUAAUAAUUGAGCACAGCUUUAGACAAUACAAGUUCAAACAGUACUGAGGAGGGAGGUGUGGGUGGAGGCGAGCAGUCCACUUCAGCUCCAAAUCACUGUGCUUUUCCAGAUGCUGCAUGCUAUUGCAUGGUGUAGUGCAACACGUAGUCAAGCUACUGUUGAGCAAGGUGCUUUAACAUGACCUUCUACAAUGGAGUUUUGCUGCUGCUGCUGCUGCUGCUGCUGCUGCUGAGCGUGUCAACAUGGAAUAUGUGUGUCUUCUCCAACUGUCUCUCUACAUCCAUCACGUGUCUAUAGAAGUCCACCCUCCAGCUCACCCAUCAACAUGCCAACAGACAGUCGCACAAUCUGCGGAUGCCACUUCCUUUGAUAUGAUUGGCUGCAAUCGCCUGUUGCCUCAGCCUCAGGCUGGACACCGAUUCAAGGUUGACAGCUCAUCAAGUUGAGUGACAAGCGUUGGGGCGGGAACUCGACCAAAUGAGGGGGAGGAAGGAAGAUCAUUCUCUCUCUCUCUCUCUCUUGAUGUGCCCCUCUCUCUCUCUCUGGUGGAUGGAUGGAUGGAGGCGGAAGCGGCAACGGUGGCAG